rnacentral:lncRNA from 1 species
CGGGGCUUGUCCUGUGGCUACAGAGGUGACGGCGCAGAUCUCUCACCCUGUUACUUUCUCAUCUCCAGCAAAGGAACCUGAGUCGUGUCCAGCUGGUGCGCCUCCGCAGUGGCUGCCUGCCCAGACGGCUGGAUCGGUACCUGGGGAAGUGUUACUAUUUCUCACAGGCUGAGGGAACUGGGACUACACCCAGAGCCACUGCUCUGCCCCUAGGUGCUCCCUGGCUGGAUUGAAUACCCAGCAGGAAAUGGAUUUCCUGAUGCGCUAUAAAGGACUCUCUGACCACUGGAUCGGCCUCGGGAGGAAACCGGACCAACCCUGGAUGUGGACCAACAGCACCGAAUUCAACAAGUGGUUUCCAAUAGCGGGAGGAGGCCUGUG